UUCAGAUUAUCAGCUGCUAGGAGUCCUUCAAUGAAGAGUAGGAGGUUGAAGAGUUGACUCAUCACCUCUGGGUAUCAGGAUACCCCCAAUGGAAAGGACUCGGCAAUUAGUCACAUCUGCUGCCAGAGAUGAGGAGACUUUGCUGUGGCUAGUAAAGUGAACUACUCAUGAUGCUUGACUUUUGUGAUAUAGAAAUUGAGCAGCAAAGCCUCUUGGUAGCCACACUGAUCAAUUGUGCAAACAGCUGGCUCCUCCCAUUUGACCACAGAGAUCACCCCUCAACCCCCGACUUAGGGAACUUCUGCAUGAAAGUUGGGCAAGGGGCCUUAGAGAUGAUUUGGUUCAACUCCCUUGUAACAAGUGCUCCCUGUCCUUGUCAAGGUCUUUGGGUUCAUGUAGACUUCGGUCAAAUUCUUGGGGCUGACUUCAAAUAGAUUGUCUAGAAGGGUCUCUUGCUGCAUGGUUACAUUGAGUAGAAUGGUUUUCUUUGAUGUUACAUUAGUCAUCAGAGUAUUGAUGGGUUUCAGCUCCCAAGUAUGAACAAUAUAAGGUAACCUUUCCUUGAGGUCUGUGGUUGAUAACUGGGAAGAUAUCCUGGUAUAAGGUUUAACUGUGUUUCUAUCUUAUUCAAACUGAUUUACUAUUUCCAACAAUUCACCAAAAUUUUACACUUUUUUCAUACCAAAGGUCAAUUAGACUUACCUUCAAUACUUAGAGGUAUACAGCACACUUCUUCCACUUCAUUCUGUGUACAUAGCAGCUUUCAGUUGAGCUCCCCUUUCCAGCACUGAGCUGAACCCUGGGGGGGAAAUAUCCCUGGCUUUCUGGGGAGGGGAGAAUAGAACACCUCCUUUUUUGAUUUCAAGGAAUUGUACCUGUUUACUUUCCCUUUCCCAACUUGGAAAGUCUCUGAUCUUUCAUCCAAUUAGAAAUUAGAUUACCUAAUAUUGUAUUGUUUCCUUUUAAUUAAUUGGUCUUAUUUGAUUAACUGAUUUUAAUGUAUAAAUGUCUGUCUCCCUCUAUAUUUGGGAUCCAGGCCUGAACUCAAGAGGUCUGGUUUUGGUUUGUUAGGAAAUGAAUUGCUUAAUGAAUUGAAAUGCUUAGAAGAUCAAACCUUUGUUUUCCUCAGUUAUUUCAUCUUUCAUCCUUCACACAAUUCUCUGUAAGCUGCAUUUGGAUACACCCAUGGAAACACAAAUAACCUAAAUGAGCAAAACACCCAGACUGAAUCACCUUCCCCCUUCUUCCAGGUCCUGUCAUCACAUUUAUCUGAGGGACAGAUUUCUCUGGUGCUCAGAACAGUCUGUUUCUUCUUAAGCAUUUUGAUCUGAGGGUCUGUGUUCCUUUUCAAGAUGAUUUUAUCUGUAUUCUUUACACAAGUAUUAUUUUUCUUCUCUCCUAAAGCAACUAAAAUGGCCACAU